rnacentral:lncRNA from 1 species
UGGCUGGCCCCAACCCAGAGACAGACCAAAGAGCACAGCGGAGCAGAGAGCUCUAGACACUGCCUGGGGAGGGGGCGUGGCCACGCCCACCCUGUCCACGUGGGAGCCGUAAAAGUGAUCCUGCUGGAGAGGAAGUGCCUGAGAAAGUCCGUCCUGCAACCUGUCAUUCCACCUUCAAACUGUCACUCCUCCAAGCCUCAGGGAUUCUGGUCUCCAGGAGUUCCCAUUCAAAUAUGCAUCACCCUAGGGUAGGAGAGGCGGUCGUCUGAAGAUUGAUGUGUGCAAGGUGAGCGUGGCCACGCCCUUCCCAGGCAGUGUCUAAAGCUCUCUGCUCUGCUCUGCUCUUUGAAGUGAAGCAUUAGGAUGUUAGCAGGGAUAGUAGAAAUGCAAUUUAGGGGAGUAGGGGAGACGGCUGAACUCAGUUUAUCUGAAACCUAUGAUGCUUCCACUGUGUGUGUGAGAUCCAGUGGCAGAUGACGAAACAGCUGUGCAGAUGUGACAAGUCAAGGACCCUGAGAUGGAGAGCUGAGCCUGGAUUAUCAGGUGGGCCCAAUGCACUCAUAGGGUCUUUAUGAGUGGGAGGCAAGGGAGUGAGUCAGAGAAGGAGACGCGGUGACAGAUGCAGGCAUCAGAGUGAUUCCACGUGAAAAGGACUGGACCAGCCAUUGCUGGCUGUGCAGAUGGAGGAAGGGGCCAUGAGCCAAGGAAUGACGGCGGCCUCCAAAAGCUGAAAAAAGCAAGGAAAUGGAUUCCCCCUAGAACCAUCCAGGAGGAACACUGCCCAGUUGAUGCCUUGAUUUUAGCCCAGUGACACCCUUUUUGGACUCUAGCCUCCAGAACUGUAAAAUAAUAAAUGUGCAUGUUUUAAGCCUCUAAACUUGUGGUGGUUUGUGACAGCAGUGACAGGGAACUAAUACUCAUGGUAUGUGCAGGGAUGCCCAUGUGCCCCGCAGGGAGGGGUGACUGUGGGAGCACAGAAGAGCCCGGGGGUCAGGGGAGCUGCCUGGAGAAGAUGCCUGGGCUGAGCACUGAA